CCCUUGAUACGAGCAAAAACCGAAAUGCCGACAAAAGUAUUGUAAAAAUUAUGUUCACGUUCAAAAUGUUGCUAUGAUAAUUUAUGUUCCUUUUAAAAAUGUUCACAAUGUUUUAUUGUAUUUAUUUUUUACAUUCCCACAACAAUUACCUACCGUUAAGAAUGCGGGCAUAUUUGCAGCGAUGAUGUCUAUUGAUGUUUAAGAUUUAGAGUGGAUUGUGAUAAAAGUUCACCUAUGAGUGGACCUGUUGUCUUUGGCGAGGUCUGCGCCCUCCAAUUCUCAUCAAAUAACAUCCAUCACCUCUGAGGUAUCCUGUGUGUAGAUAUUUUGCAGUGGUGGUUAGCAGUUUGUGGAGGCUUUAGAGCUCAAGAUUCUUUGGUUAUUACCGUUGCCAUCACAAUAGCACACUGAGCAAAUGCACACCAGGUGUGCGGCACUGUGAAACAGCUGGCUCUCAUUACACUCAGACAUGGAGCAUGAUAGACUCAACAUAAUACAAUUUAGCAUGAGACUUUCUGAAUUGUUAAAAAGCAAUAAAAGACAAUAGCCAACAGUUUGCGUCUGUGUCACGUUACACUACAGUCAUGUUUGAAGAAGAAGAAUCACCUUUAUUGUCAUGAACAUGCAUGGAUGCAUGCAUACAAAUUUUGUUCUCUGCAUUUUACCCAUCACAGCGAACAUACAUACUUGUUAGUGGAACACAGUGGAGCAGGGGGCAACCUAAGCUCCUGGGGAGCAGUUUGAGGUAUCAGCGUCUUGCUCAAGGACACCACAGCCGUGAGUCUGGGAGAUGUUGGCGGGUGGCACGGUGGCAGUUGAUGAUCUUAACCAUUGGGCCACAGCUGGCAUACAUCUGCAUUCCCCUGACUAUCUAAUUCCUCAUAAAGAAAAAUAUAAUAUCGGCAGCACGGUGGACAACUGCCGAGCACAUCUGGCUCACAGUUCUGAGGACCCGGGUUCAAAUCCGCAUGUUCUCCCUGUGCCUGCAUGUGUUUUCUCCGGGUACUCCAGUUUCCUCCCACAUCCCAAAAACAUGCAUGUAGGCUGCGAUCCACCAAGACCCGCCCUGCGUUUUUCUCCUCCCUCCCCCAGUCCCUCGCUGUGCCGGCAACAUCGUCAUGGAAAUAUACCAAAAUAAGACUGCCAUCCUCCUUAAACCACAGCGGAUGCCAGCGAGAGCAGAGGCAUUCAACAGAGGGCUGCGAAAGCAAAGAGGGGUCUGAGCCAGUGCCCAAAAGAACAUAUGACAACACUGAUAUCGUGUUGUGAAUGUGACUGAGACAGAGUGAGAAAUGUGCUUAGAGAUCAAUAAAAGAGCUGCUCUGUGAAACUCACAUGACUGCAGUGUGACCAUUGUGAUUGUGAGUAAUCACUAGGUUUUGAAUCAUGUGGGUGGCUGGUUCAAGUAUACAGAAACAGGAAAUUUGUUUCACAGUGCUCAGAAGAAUUUCACUUAUUCGACAGGCACUUAUGAAUCAUGAACUGGCCCAAUGUGGACCUUCAGAUUUCGAGUUAAAUGCUGUUUCAUCGUUAGCAGCUGCUUUUCUGUGCAUUGUUUAAACACUGGAGCCAAAUUAUAUCUGGUUUGUAUAAAUCAAUAAGUGACAUUACACAAGCAGGAGUUGAGUCUUAUCAGGCCUUACUUUGCUGAGGGAAAAGUAUAAAGAAAUGCAAGAGAGAAUUUUGAGAAUAGUAGAGAUAGAGGCUGAAAGAGAAAAAGAUCCAACUGUCAAUCAAGAAAGGAGAAUGCACAGUACACAGUAAAUGACGUAAAUUCUGAAUGUUUUUAUAUUAUAGUGGUUAAAAAGUGCAAACUGUAGGCCUGUCCCAAGCCCGGAUAAAUGCAGAUGGUUGCGUCAGGAAGGGCAUCCGGCUUAAAACUUUGCCAAACAAAUAUGAGCGUUCAUCCAAAGAAUUCCAUACCGGAUCGGUCGUGGCCCGGGUUAACAACGUCCACCACCGGCCCCGUCAACCUGCAGGGCGCCGUUGGAAAUUCAGCUACUGUGGGUCGAAGUCAAAGAAGAAGAAGAGGUGGAAAGCGGGUUCUUCAGCAGAAAGAGAAGAGGAAAGCACAGAGCCUAGAACUGAAUGUGGGGACUUUGAAUGUUGGGACGAUGACAGGAAAAUCUCGGGAGUUGGUUGACAUGAUUAGGAGAAAGGUUGAUAUAUUGUGUGUCCAGGAGACCAGGUGGAAAGGCAGUAAGGCUAUAAGUUUAGUGGCAGGGUUUAAAUUAUUUUACCAUGGUGUAGAUGGGAAGAUAAAUGGAGUCGGAUUAUUUUAAAAGAAGAGUUGGCUAAGAAUGUCUUGGAGGUGAAAAGAGUAUCAGAUUGAGUGAUGAGGCCGAAACUUGAAAUUGAGGGUGUUAUGUAUAAUGUGAUUAGCGGCUAUGCCCCACAGGUAGGAUGUGACCGAGAGCUGAAAGAGAAAUUCUGGAAGGAGCUAGACGAAGUAGUUCUGAGCAUCCCAGACAGAGAGAGAGUCGUGAUUGGUGCAGGUUGUAAUGGACAUAUUGGUGAAGGAAAUAGGGGUGAUGAAGAAGUGAUGGGUAAGUACGGCAUCUAGGAAAGGAACUUGGAGGGACAGAUGGUGGUAGACUUUACAACAAGAAUGCAAAUGGCUGUAGUGAACACUUUUUUCCAGAAGAGGCACUAACAUAGGGUGACCUUCAAGAGCGAAGGUAGAAGCACGCAGGUGGAUUACAUCUUGUGCAGACGAUGUAAACUGAAGGUUACCGACUGUAAGGUAGUGGUAGGGGAGAGUGUGGCUAGACAGCAUAGGAUGGUGGUGUUUAAAAUGACUCUGGUGGUGGGGAGGAAGAUUAGGAAGACAAAGGCAGAGCAGAGAACCAUGUGGUGGAAGGUGAGACAGGACGAGUGUUGUGCAGCUUUUCUGGAAGAGGUGAGACAGGCUCUCGGUGGACAGGAGGAGCUUCCAGAAGACUGGGCCACUGCAGCCAAGGUGAUCAGAGAGGCAGGCAGGAGAGUACUUGGUGUAUCUUCUGGCAGGAAAGGAGAGAAGGAGACUUGGUGGUGGAACCUCACAGUACAGGAAAUAAUACAAGGAAAAAGGUUACCUAAGAAGGAGAGGCGAAAGGAAUACAUUGAGAUGUGACACAGGGCAAAGGUAGAGGUGGCAAAAGCCAAACAAGAGGCAUAUGAUGACAUGUAUGGCAGGUUGGACACUAAAGAAGGAGAAAAGGAUCUAUACAGGCUGACCAGACAGAGGGAUGGAGAUGGGAAGGAUGUGCAGCAGGUUAGCGUGAUUAAGGAUAGAGAUGGAAAUAUGUUGACUGGUGCCAGCAGUGUGCUAGCUAGAUGGAAAGAAUACUUCGAGGAGUUGAUGAAUGAGGAAAAUGAGAGAGAAGGGAGAGUAGAAGAGGCAAGUGUGGUGGACCAUGAAGU